AGAAUGCCAGCACUAAUGGAUAUGAUCCAAGCAAAGACCCAGCAAGAAAGGCCAAAUCAAAUGACCCUGGGUGGAAGUAUGGGUAUUGGCCAGAUCUAACAAACAAGAACGUUGUUAAAUGCACCCUUUGUGGCAAAGAAAUGAGUUGUGGAAU